rnacentral:rRNA from 1 species
CAAUAGCGUAUAUUAAAGUUGUUGCAGUUAGAACGCUCGUAGUCGGAUUUCGGGGCGGGUCGACCGGUCUGCCGAUGGGUACGCACUGGCCGACGCGUCCUUUUUGCCGGAGACCGUCCCUACUCUUAACUGAGCGGGGUCGGGAGACGGCACUUUUACUUUGAAAAAAUCAGAGUGUUUCAAGCAGGCAGCUCGCUCUUGCAUGGAUUAGCAUGGGAUAAUGAAAUAGGACUUUGGUGCUAUUUUGUUGGUUUCGAACACCGAAGUAAUGAUGAGAAGGGACAGUCAGGGGCACUCGUAUUCCGCCGAGAGAGGUGAAAUUCUCAGACCAGCGGAAGACGAACCACUGCGAAAGCAUUUGCCAGGGAUGUUUUCACUGA